UUUUAAGGUAGCGCACCUCUAAUGGGCACAUAUCCAAAUAUAAUCUAAUUAAUUAUUUUCUUAAUCAGCAUCAUUUCACUGAACUACAUGCAAAUUUGUAGGUAGGCUUUCCAUGCUUUUAAAAAAAAUAUACCGAUUUUUUCAAAACCACCCCCACGCUCGGCUUUUGUCCAGUUUAUUUUCACCCCUGGGGUAUAUAAAAGUUCCAUAAUUCAUUCAAAUUUCCAAAUAUGGGCAUGCAGUUGGUGUGUACAGAUGCUGUAAAGGUGUUUAAAGUUUAAACAAUAUGAAAUAAGUAUUCUUUUACAGACAUUUAUUUUUUACAAAUUUUUAUCUAUGGAAGAGCGCCAUGAAAUGUAAGUGAUUUCAGCCAAGUAAAAAUUGGGUCGGUUAAAAACAAAGUGUCAUACAAUUCAAAAUAGUAUCAUUUAAGUCAUAUAUUAAACUUAGUUUUUAUAGAAACACUAUAUACAGCAAAAAUACCAAGAACUAGACAGAUUUACCGUUUACUUUUUGAAAUAAAAAUAAAAAUGCAACAUGCAUAGUUCGUAUUUUUAACAGUAAAUCACCCAAUUUCGCCAUAACGUUGUUUAAUUUUAAUAAUUGAAGAAUGUGCAUAAAAAUUGCAACAUAUUUAACAAUAAAUAUAGCUUAUAUGCCAUAUUAAAUCAAAUUACGUUAGAAAAUAAAUAAAACGCGUCGCAAAAAAGUAUGCGUCGUCGGCAGGUUUCGAACCUGCGCGGGAAUAUCCCAAAAGAUUUCUAGUCUAUCGCCUUAACCACUAGGCUACGGCACCUAAUAGUAGGCUCUUCAACCUUCGAAGAAAUCGCUGGAAAUCAUUAGAGGUGCGCUACCUUAAGCUCAAAAACAAGUUGUAUUGUUCAUUUUGUAUGGUAAUUUCCUAUAGCAUAUAUAUAUAUAUAUAUAUAUAUAUAUAUAUAUAUAUAUAUUAUUUUUUGAUAACCUUUAUUAAUAAAAUAUGCAACAAAUAUUUAAAAAUCGGUAAUAAUUACGGAUCCGUCACCUUUUAUGGGCCUUUAAUGUUGAAUUUUAGACUUGAGGUAAACAUUGAUCUUGGAGGUUAUAUUGCUUUUAUUUGCAAUAAGUUAAGUUUUGAUUCUGAGAGAAUUGAUUUUGCUAUUGUUUGCUAUAUUGUUGAUUCAUGGAAUAGGGGGGUGUGCAAUACAAACAAAUGUUUAUCUUGCUAUGAGUUGAACCAUUUACUGUCAGAUGAGCAUUGUGAAGUUUGUUUUUGAAUUUCUCAAAAAAGUGCAUCCAUUUAAUUUGAAAUACACCUGUAAAAAAAAUAAAGGUGAUUACAAUUAAUAUGUCUAUUAAGAACUUGUUAUUAAAGCAUAUUCAUUCAUAUUAUGCAUUGUUAUGCCUUCAUCUUUGUUAUGUAGCAACUAGUGUGCAUUUUGCGAGUAUAAUUUAACAUUCCUUAAAAUAUAAUGCGUAUUUUUACUAUAGGUAUGUGUUGGAAAAUAAAAUAUAACACUGUUA